ensembl:lncRNA
AAAAGGACCCAAAAAAGGAGGGAAAAGUCAGAGCAAGAGCAGCCAUUAGACUUCUUUCAGGCUUCAUCUGGAUUUUGGACUCUGGAGUUGGAGAAACUGCCUUCAAAUUUCCGUGUGCAGAGCAAUGGCCAAGAAAAGGAAAGACUUCCCUGAGUGAAAAAGAAGAUGAAGAUACAAGCUGGUGAUGAUCCAGAGCAGCUGGUCUCAGGAAAUGAAGAAAAACCCUGAUCACCUUUUCCACAGAAACAAGAAUAAAUUGCGACUAGUCUCAAUGGCUGAGAUGGAGGAGGAACACAGCGACACGUUAACCCGACUGCUGCAGUUCCUGUAUGAACUGAGCAACUCUAAAAAUCCAAGGAAAAAAGAGACAGCCAGGUUCAUAAUGGAUAUAAGGAAGUUUUUUCAAAAACAGAAGCCACAUUCAGUCCAAAGAGAGAGAGAGGAAAGAGGGGAACGUGAGGAGAAAGUACAAGGUCAGGAAGAACCAGUGUGUACCACCUGAGAAAAAUGUCAAGCUCUCCCAAGUACCACUAUGAAAGCAGGAAACUCAUAAAUCUUACAACACAAAAUUAGUAUUAUUAAAUUAGUCAAAUUAAUAUCUGCAGUAAAGAUUUUUUCAUACAUUGUAUACAUUCUAC